GACGAACGCUGGCGGCGUGCCUAAUACAUGCAAGUAGAACAGUUGCGAACGGGUGAGUAACGCGUAGGUAACUGCCUCAUAGCGGGGGAUAACUAUUGGGAAAGAUAGCUAAUACCGCAUACUGUAAGAUAGAACUGCGUUGUAUUAGCUAGUUGGUGAGGUAAAGGCUCACCAAGGCUACGAUACAUAGCCGACCUGAGAGGGUUAUCGGGCACACGUGGACUGAGACACGGCCCAACAUCCUACGGGAGGCAGCAGGAGGGAAUCUUCGGCAAAUGGCGGAAGUCUUACGGCGCAACGCCGGGUGAGUGAAGAAGGUUUUCGGGUCGUAAAGCUCUGUUCUUAGAGAAGCGUUAACUAACGAGAAAGGGACGGCUAACUACGUGCCAGCAGCCGCGGUAAUAC
rnacentral:rRNA from 1 species